rnacentral:rRNA from 1 species
UACGGGAGGCAGCAGUGGGGAAUAUUGCACAAUGGGCGCAAGCCUGAUGCAGCCAUGCCGCGUGUAUGAAGAAGGCCUUCGGGUUGUAAAGUACUUUCAGUCGUCGAGGAAGGUGUUAAGGUUAAUAACCUUAGCAAUUGACGUUAGCGACAGAAGAAGCACCGGCUAACUCCGUGCCAGCAGCCGCGGUAAUACGGAGGGUGCGAGCGUUAAUCGGAAUUACUGGGCGUAAAGGGCACGCAGGCGGUUAAUUAAGUUGGAUGUGAAAUCCCCGGGCUUAACCUGGGAAUGGCAUUCAAGACUGGUUAGCUAGAGUCUUGUAGAGGGGGUAGAAUUCCAUGUGUAGCGGUGAAAUGCGUAGAGAUGUGGAGGAAUACCGGUGGCGAAGGCGGCCCCUGGACAAAGACUGACGCUCAUGUGCGAAAGCGUGGGGAGCGAAACAGGGAUUAGAUACC